rnacentral:piRNA from 1 species
UACGAUGAGGACUACGAUGACGAGCA